rnacentral:rRNA from 1 species
GCACAAGCGGUGGAGCAUGUGGUUUAAUUUCGACGCAACGCGAAGAACCUUACCAGGGCUUGACAUCCCCUGACCGCGUAUGAAAGUACGUUUUCACCCUCGGGUGACAGGGAGACAGGUGGUGCAUGGUUGUCGUCAGCUCGUGUCGUGAGAUGUUGGGUUAAGUCCCGCAACGAGCGACAACCCCUACGUUUAGUUGCUAACGCGUGAAGGCGAGCACUCUAGACGAACUGCCGUUGACAAAACGGAGGAAGGUGGGGAUGACGUCAAAUCAUCAUGCCCCUUAUGUUCUGGGCUACACACGUGCUACAAUGGCCGGUACAGACGGACGCAAAGCCGCGAGGUGGAGCAAAUCCUAAAAAGCCGGUCUCAGUUCGGAUUGCAGGCUGCAAUUCGCCUGCAUGAAGUCGGAAUCGCUAGUAAUCGCAGGUCAGCAUACUGCGGUGAAUACGUUCCCGGGCCUU